rnacentral:tRNA from 1 species
GCCCAUAUAGUUCAGUGGUAGACCGCCUCACUCGUAAUGAGGAAGUCCGCCGUUCGAUCCGGCGUGUGGGCA